GCCAGGCAUGGUGGCGUGUGCCUGUUAUCUCAGCUACUUGGGAGGCUGAGGCAGGAGGAACACUUGAUCCCAGGAGUUUUGGGCUGUAGUGCGCUAUGCUGGCUGCCCAUGCUAAGUCUGGCAUCAAUAUGGUGAUUUCCUGCAAGUGGGGACCAACUGGUUGCCUCAGGAGGGGUGAACUGGCCCAGGUCAGAAACGGAGCAGGUCAAAACUCCCAUGCUGAAGUGGGAUUGCAUCUGUGAAUAGCCAGUGCAUUCCAGCCUGGGCAACACCUCAUCUCUUA
ensembl:misc_RNA Metazoa_SRP Metazoan signal recognition particle RNA